rnacentral:rRNA from 1 species
CACAAGCGGUGGAGCAUGUGGUUAAUUCGAAGCAACGCGAAGAACCUUACCAGGCCUUGACAUGCAGAGAACUUUCCAGAGAUGGAUUGGUGCCUUCGGGAACUCUGACACAGGUGCUGCAUGGCUAUCGUCAGCUCGUGUCGUGAGAUGUUGGGUUAAGUCCCGUAACGAGCGCAACCCUUGUCCUUAGUUACCAGCACGUUAUGGUGGGCACUCUAAGGAGACUGCCGGUGACAAACCGGAGGAAGGUGGGGAUGACGUCAAGUCAUCAUGGCCCUUACGGCCUGGGCUACACACGUGCUACAAUGGUCGGUACAAAGGGUUGCCAAGCCGCGAGGUGGAGCUAAUCCCAUAAAACCGAUCGUAGUCCGGAUCGCAGUCUGCAACUCGACUGCGUGAAGUCGGAAUCGCUAGUAAUCGUGAAUCAGAAUGUCACGGUGAAUACGUUCCCGGGCCUU